CUUUUCUCUUCAGCUGCUCCUUCCCCAGAAGCAGGUCUCCCCCCCUCUCCCCUCCUUUACCAUUCCCUUUCCCCUAAUUAAAACAAAAACAAACCAGAAACCCUCCACACGAGCUCUGUCACAAGGCAUCUUUCUCCCGUGCCCCACUUUUCAUAUUACAACAGUGAUGAUCAUCGUCUGAACCUCUGAAACUAUUCCAGAGUUGCUCAGCUGGUCUUCAGCAUGUGCUGGGAUCUGGAAGAAGUAGGCGCCAAUGCCAGUGAAGGAAUGGACAUGCUGACAAAGCGAAGGCCAGCAGUGAAGAAUGAACACACCCCUUUCUUCUUCCGUUGUCGUUCCAACAGAAGGUGUGGCCAGGAUUAAAGGAAUGCCUUCCAGCCUCAAGGUAUGGAUUAAAGAUGACUUGGAAAGAGCGUCUCUUUCUACUCAGCCGAACCAAAAUGGACUGCCCACACUCAAAGCCCCUCCCUACUACUUCCCGUGCGCCUCUCUGUCUUCCAGACUUCCUCUGACUCUCUAUGAUUACUUUCUGUCAGCUAGUUGCUGGCUCUGUGUCCUGACCCAAGGUUGAUUUUAUUUAAGCAAAUGCAAACGUGGGGUCCACAAUGUGAUCAAGUACCCUACAACGGAGGCUGUCCUGCUUCCGUAUUAUAAAUAUUGAUUUCCUCUUUGCAAGUAGAGAAUAAUCUGGGAUCUAAUUGGUGCUGUGAAAAUAUUCUGGUCCCUAUCUCCUUCGCACACACUAGGGACUUUUUGCUUUUUAUUUCGUGUGUUCUGUCUUUCAUCUUCAUCUCUUGUGUUUCUAUGCUCCUGUCAGGCUACCUGUCCACAGAGGACAAGAGACUCUGUUAAUGCUGGGGAUAAAGUCAGCGGUUGUGGUACUCAAUCUUGAUCACCAACUUGGAUGGGCAAUCCCUAGGAGACAAGAAUAUGGGCAUGCCUGUGAGAGUUUCUAGCUUGAGUUAGUUAAAUUUCCAUCAUCACCAUGAACUGUACCCUCAAACUAUGAGCCAAAAUAAAGCCUUCCAUCUUUAAA